GAUGAACGCUGGCGGCGCGCCUAACACAUGCAAGUCGAACGAUUAAAGCACCUUCGGGUGUGUAUAAAGUGGCGAACGGCUGAGUAACACGUGGGCAACCUGCCCCUUUCAUUGGGAUAGCCACGGGAAACCGUAGAUAAUACCGAAUACUUCGAGACUUCCGCAUGGAAGACUCGAGAAAGCUCCGGCGGAGAGGGAUGGGCCCGCGGCCUGUUAGCUUGUUGGUGGGGUAACGGCCUACCAAGGCAAUGAUGGGUAGCUGGGUUGAGAGACCGACCAGCCAGAUUGGGACUGAGACACGGCCCAGACUCCUACGGGAGGCAGCAGUGGGGUAUCUUGCACAAUGGGCGAAAGCCUGAUGCAGCGACGCCGCGUGCGGGAUGAAGGCCUUCGGGUUGUAAACCGCUUUCAGCAGGGACGAGGCGAAAGUGACGGUACCUGCAGAAGAAGCCCCGGCUAACUACGUG
rnacentral:rRNA from 1 species